AAGGGCACGGGUUGGGACGGAUUUGGUGGCGUCUCUGUGCCGUCACUCACCCUCUUCUCCAAACAAGGUGCUCCUGGAACACCAGGCCCGUCAGGUGGCAGAUGUUCCCUCUUUUGGGCACUGAUGAAAACCUGCAAAUAACACAAAUGGUCAUUUAAUGGAAAGGUAAUGCUUCAGGAAAUGUCACUUGGGAUUUGGCCACAGAUCAAACACAAAGGACUCUGACAAAAUGUUUAGACAAGUGGGGCCUGCAUUUUUGGCAGGCAGGGCUGCAAGUUAGCCCUGGAUUCUCCCUGAGUGCCACAUUGAUUCCCCUUCCCUUGCCCCAUCUCUUGCUCUGCUUUCUGCUUCCUGCCCUAUGCCGUGGUCCAGCUUGUCCCCUCCCUGAUCUGCCACGUGCCACAUGUAGCAGCUGCCCACGCCACUCGUGGCAGCUGUGUUGUGGGUUGGCCACCCCCGGUUUAGACCAUCACAGAUGAGUGAAGAUGGAGUUAUACCUCUCACUGCAGCCUGCAGCUUGUUACUUCUAGGGAAGUGACGUCCCGUAUAGUGCACGGCCUUUCCAGGAACGCAGCUAGAUUUCCAUGCUCCGGUCCAUCGCCUGCAGAAGUGACCCCGGGCAGUGCAAGCAGUCACCUAUGGCAGUAAAGUGUUUUGUCCAAAAUGUUGAAAAGUGGCCUCUGAUUUUAGUCUAAGAGGAGAUAUCCUGGACCCAGGUCUCCGUGUGAGCACCCAGAGCUUCUGCUGACUCCAGGUGAACUAAUAUACAACCUGGGGCGGAGGAAGAAAAGUCCCCCAAAUGCAAGCCAUGUUUAAAUAAACAGGGGGGAGCUGACACCUAGGGCCUGCUACAAAUGCCCCUCUUGCCUAUGAGUCAAUAACAUUUUCUUCAUGGCUUCAAGAAGAAGCCCUCACAUCCAGUCAAAUAAAAAUAAAGAGAGAUACAGAUACUGAAGGGGACUCGGAGGAGCAGUUCUGGAGAAAACCAGAGGAAUACUGUACUCAGCUUCCUAGAUUUCAUAGACAUGAGGGCCGGAAGGGACCUCGGGAGAUCAUCGGGUCCAGCCCCCGCCCCAGGGGCAGUAAGUCAGCUGGGGUCACAGGAUCCCAGCAAGAUAAACGUCCAAUUGACUCUUCAAGGAGUCCAGAGGAGGUAGGUGCCUGCACCACCUCCGGCGGCUGUCUGUUCCAGGCCUUGGGGGCUCGGACAGGAAAGAAGUUGUUCCUCGUGUCCAGCCUGAAACGGUCUUGGAGGGGUUUAUGACCAUUAGACCUUGUCAUCCCUUGGGGCGCUCUGGUGAGCAAGCGUUCCCCCAGAUCCUGGUGCACACCCUCAUGUACUGAGAGGCAGCCACCAGGUCCCCCUGAGCCUGUGCUCCUCCAGGCUGAAGAGCCCCAUGGCUCUCAACCUCUCUUCAUAAGGCCUGUUCUCCUGCCCUCUGAUCAUGCGCGUGGCUCUCCUCUGCACUCUCUCAAGCUUCUCCACAUCCUUCUUGAAUUGUGGAGCCCAAAACUGGAUGCAGUACUCCAGCUGCGGCCUCACCAAGGCUGAGUACAGCCGGAGGAUGAUAUCCUGGGUCUUGCUCGAGAUGCGUCGGUAGAUGCAAGCCAGGGUUUUGUUCGCUUUGCCAGGUGCAGCAUCGCAUCCAUGGAUCAUAUUCAUCUUGUGGUCAAUCCUGCCCACUAAGUCUCUUUCGGUCAUGGUGCUACCGAGUGUAACAUUGCCAAGCCUAUAAGUGUGAUGCAGGUUUUUUUCCCAAAGUGGAGCACCUUGCAUUUCUCCAUAUUGAAUGCCAUCAGGUUUUCAUCUGCCCACCUUGCAAGCCUAUCAAGGUCGUCCUGGAUCACCAGCCUAUCCUCAAGUGUGGACACUUCCCCAGAGUUUGGUGUCAUCAGCAAACCUGGCCGGUCCAGUUUUGACACCUGUGUCCAGAUUGUUAAUGAAGACAUUCAAGAGUACAGGUCCGAGAAUGGAGCCGUGGGGGCCCCACUGGUCACCGAGCGCCCCGUUGAUUCGGUUCCAUCAACCACCGCUCGCUGGGUCCGAGCGCGGAGCCAGUUCCCCAGCCAUCGCACUGUGGAGUAGUCGAGGCCGCAGUUGUCCAAUUUUUCCAUGAGGACAUCAUGGGACACCAGGUCAAAGGCUUUUUUCAAGUCCAAAUAUAUGACAUCAACCGCUUCCCUUUUGUCCAGGUGAUACAUCACCUGGUCAUAGAAGGAAAUGAGAUUGGUCAAGCAAGACCUACCCACAACAAACCCGUGCCGGCUGUCCCUCAGGAUGCUGCCUCCUGUUAGCCUGUCAAGAAUGGUUUCUUUGAUAAUUUUUUCCAAAAUCUUCCAGGGAUUUAAGCCAAACUGAUUGGCCUGUAGUUUCCUGGGUCUUCUUUCCUCCCUUUCUUGAAGAUGAGCACCACAUUGGCCCUCUUCCAAUUUUCAGGUACUUCACCCGAGCGCCACGAGUUCUCGAAUAUUCUCGCCACUGGCUGUGCUAUAAUGUCUGCCAGUUCCUUUAGCACUCUUGGGUGCAGCCUAUCUGGACCAGCUGAUUUAUGGGGGUCCCACCUCUCAAGAUACUACCUCACAAGAUCCACGCCAGUGGUGGGCAUCUGUUCAUCUUCACUCCGGUCAUCCGGCAUCCUGUUCGGCAGGCUGGUCCCUUUGGGCUGAUGAAAAACCGAUGCAAAGUCAUCAUAAAGCAGAUUGGCUGGGUGUCGGUAGUCAGCUGCCCCAGCUGGUUUAGCAGGGUCCAAUGUUGCCCUUGUUUUCUUUCAACUCCCCACAUAUCUGAAAAAGGACUUUCUAUUGUCCUUGAUUCGUGUACCCAGAUGAAGUUCAGUUGCAGCCUUGGCUUUUGUAGUUCGCUGCCUGCAGGUGUGGAGCAGCGCAGUAUACUUCUCCUUAGUGGUGUUUCCCAUCUUCCAUCCUUUAUACGCCUCUCUUUUUAGACAUAGGAGGUCCAUGAGUUCCCUGUUGAGCCAAGGGGUUGUUGAGCCCUUUUACCAUCUUUCCUACGGGUGGGGAUGGACUCCCCUUGUGCUUCUAGGAUCACGUCCUUAGGGAGCAAUCACGCAUCAUGAACUCCCCUCCCUGUGAAAUCAUGGCCUUUCAGGGUGUCAAGAACAAGCCUCCUGACCUUAUGGAAGUCAGCUUUCCUAAAGUCGAGGGCGACUGCGUUGCUGGCUGACUUGCCAGCUUUGCGAUGGAUAGUGAAAGCGUUCAGCUCGUGGUCACCGUCACCCAGCUUCCUUCGACUCUUAGGGCACUGAUUAAAUCGUCCCUUUGGCCAGUGCCAUGUCCAGCAGCACCUUGCCCCUUGUCAGCCCGUAAACUUCUUGGGACAGGUAGAGCUCAUCCAUGCAUGCAAAGAAGCUUUGUGACCGAUCGGAUUUGGCCGAGCGCUCAUCCCACGAGAUGUCCAAGUAGUUGAAGUCUCCCAUGAUAACCAUGCGCUGGGAGCGUGCAGCCUCGGCCAGUUCCCUAGCGAAUUCUUGGUCAAGCUCUUGUUCCUAGUUUGGAGGUCUGCAGUAGACUCCUACCAUUGUGUCCUUCCAGACGCUGCCCUUUUCAGACCUGCAAAACACCAGGCAGGGGAAAUCACAGUUGUAUAGAGAGAUUUUAAGGUAUCCUGUUGAGCAAAGUAAGCAUUGCAGACCUUUUAAUGUUCAACCCAUGUUGACAGACAACAUUUUUGCUGCAUUUCUCUUUUGCAUUUGCUCUGCAAAUAUUCCAGGAAAUGAGUUUAUUGACACUGUCCCAGACAGAACAUGUCUUAACUGAAAAUCAAGAAAAUGAGUGUUUAAAUUCUUCAUUGAAAAGACAAGCUCUGGAAAUCCCAUCCUAAGGGCCUGUCUGCACAAAGUAGCAGCUCUCAUGUGAAUUUAAUUUGAUUUAAUUAAGCCAGUGUAAAUCCCUGGUCAAGGCUUAAGUUUGAGAGGGGCUUUCACUGUGGUUUAGUCUGUGCCAGACAGGAACAGGUUGAAACAGAAACAAAGCAAACCAGAACAGCCUUCCUCCUGCCUAACCCUCCCACCGCCCUCAGAAGAGAGCAAAGCCCAAACCCCAAACGUGCGGUGCCCACAGAGGGCUGGUUGGACGGGUGUAGCUUAAGUGCCUAUUAAAUGUGUUACCAUUUUGGUUAAUAAGAAAAACAAGAAGGUCAUACCAAGGCAACUUUCUUUGACGUAGCCCUAAAAGUAGCCCUGUCCCACACAGGGAACAGAUCAGACUGUGGGGCCCACGUAUGCUAGCACGGGUCAGCCUGAGACCAGACUUGCUCCCUGUCUAGGUGUGUUCGGGUCGGGAGUCUUGAUUCUGGCACAUGCUACCCGGCAGCCUCUAGCAAAGAGCACUCACUGCAAAGCUACAGCCCUGCUCGUUACUACCGUUUAUUCAAUUUCCUCGUGUAUUUACUGUUUAAUCCAAUUAUACACAAAUUGAGAUAGCUAGGAAGGCAGGACUUUGAGGAAAUUAUUAAAAGCCUACAAAAAUAAUGAUAGGCUUGCAUCCUGAACAGUGCAGAAGAGAGUUUGUAUUAUUGUCACAUUAUCACUGGACAGGGAGCGGCAGCCUGUGGAAGGAAAGGACCAUGGACUAGCUGACUGAUCACGCUGCCAAUAACUUUAGACUUUUAAGCCCAGCUGUUGCACUGGCUCACUCUGUGACCUUACACACCUGUCUUGCACUGAGUGUAUUUCGAUACAGGCCCCUUAUGACUGGUGCAUGCCGUAGUCCUCCAAGUGACGUGUGCAUCUCCCAUGCUGCGCUGCAGUGUGAAGCUGAGCCACAGUACGAGCUGUGAAGGAUCCAGGGAGGAGCUGCAUUCGCCCAGCCGGGAAUCCUGCUCUGCACUGGGGUUUUCUGGAGUCGCACCGCUGGGCACGGCUUCGUAGCAGCAGGGCUGGGCUGCGGCUCCGCUGUUCUGGGCCGCAGAGGAGCACGUAGGUGGCAGUGAGACUGAAGCCUGUUCAGACGUGCUGAGGGCCAGGCAUUCCCCAGCUGGGCCCAGGACUUUAAACCCCUGUUCUCUUCCCCUGCAUAGCUGUCCCUCCUGAACUGUACCUGAAGAAAGGCAUAAUGUACAGUCUAGAAGAUACUGGGGUGCAAGAUGCACGCAGCUUGACUAGAAGCCCCUGGCCUAGAUGCAGAAAUUAGAGAAGUAUUUCUAAAGCUUGUGCAAAAACUUGUGUUAACUUCUACCUGUCCCCUCGUGCCCGGGUCUUGUCCAGCAGGCUUUGCCGUCACAGAGCACCCCUGCCCACUGCUGCUUUAGUUUGAAUUGCCUGUGUCUCCUGUAACUCAGCCUGGUCAGGUUUAGUACCUUCCGGGGUAUCCGCUGUCCAAAAAAAUUCCAAAUGAAGCAAAUUUGCAUCCAAGUAAGCACUGUCCAGCACCCCUGUCUGAAUGCUCUCCCCCCCCCAGCCCUGAGCUCCUCUCUUCUUUCACAGGCACUGGCUGCGGCUCCACAAUCUCCUAGCCACCUUGGAAAGGAAAGUGAAGUCCUUUGCAGGUACCCUGCUGCCUUACUUACUGGCCCAUCUCCUGGAGCAGCCCUGAGGCAUAACUGAGCCCUCUGGUUUCGUUAACCCUUCUCUGCCAGUGUGGCAUUGAGAUGCCCAGGUACACGGUGAUAUAAAGAAGCUCACACUAGAUGAUCAUAGGGCUCCCUUGCUAUCUGAUCGUCUAUUAAUUCACAACUGCUUUGGAAUCGAUAGAUUUAAUCCAUGUGGAAACCAUAAUUUGUAAGUUGGAUAAGCAACAUGAUAACUAACAUACUUCUACUGGGAACAAGGAUGGGUAGAAGCAGGAUACAGGAAGCGUCCCCUGCAGUGGAAUAAGGAUGAACUUGUGUUGGUGUUGCUGCUUAUAAGGUGCUGAAGCUUCACUCAACCCUUCAGUGCAACAGCAUGAUAUGCUCAGAAAGCAGCUGGGCACUGGCAGCCAGCACUGCAACUUGCUGCCCAUCAGACUGUGCAUCAGAUCAAACCAAAUAGACAUUCUGGAAAGGGCUUGCAGGCUGCACCAGGCCCAUAUUGCAGGUGUGGUGAUUUUCAUUCUUUGUGGUUACUGGAAGAUAAAGCUCACAGUUCAGUGGGGUUGUCAACUGUUCCAGGCUCCACCAGCAUCCUUCAGUAGCAAGCUAAAAGAAGGACCAGCUGACCUUGAACACGUGCUAAUAGAUUUCUAUUUAAACAAUUGCUGAAGUAACUGUGGGGUGCAUAAAGUGCACAAUUGCAGAAAUCUGUAGACAAAGAACAAUUCUGUCUUCCUCUGUGAAAACAAGGAUGUUUUCUUCUAAUGGUCAUGCUCAGUGAGUCUCCACUAGCUGCGGACACACAAUUACUUUUGAUGCAAGCUCAGAUCGAGGUCCAGUUGGGCUGAGAUUAAGGUUCAGUUUUGAAACCAAACAAAGGCUUAGCUUGAACCAUUUCUGAAACAAGGAUUUUAAGUUAAGGUGAUUCACUGUAAGUGAAGAGGUACAUGUUGAAAGACAUGGCCAGGCUGAGGUGACUGGCUUCUCUGUGCAAGUAUAGUUAAAAUGAUAUAAUGAGAGAGAGCUAAGAUGGGUGUUUACAAGUCCUAUUGAAUAGGCUUAAUAACAUGAAGCUAAGCUGCCCUGACAAUAAAACUUUGAUAUUGUUAACAGGAAUUAAUCCGUGUUAUUUAUAGGUGCUUAGAAUAUAUUGUAUAGGUUCCUGUAAUUCAUUAAACUUCCUUCUCCAUCUCAUAGUGGCCAUUUCUCAUAUACACACAACCAUUAAUAACUUAUCCAGAGGAGAUAAUUACCAGGCAAAAAUAUUGCCUAAGCAUUUUUAUGUGACGUGCAUAUGCAUGACAGGGUUUAGAUGACACAAUAACAACGUUUUUAUGAAGAUAAUAGAUUUUGCCUUGUAAAACUCAUUACAAUUAGCUGUCUGUCUGAUUCUGUAUCACAGAAGAAGCAUCUGGCAAUAGGAUCUUUUCCAUUUCAGCAGUGGUCCCUGGCAAGAACAGGCUGUGAUUUCCUUAGUCAUAUGGAAUAGCAUCUUAGGGUAUAGACAGAGAUAAUCAUUAUCUUGAUAUCAAAUGAUACACAUAUAAGCUCUUCUAAUGCAAGUAUUAUAGCUGUGUUCUACAGUGAUACAAGGAUAGCUAAAUUGUCGCAACUUUAAUCCUAUUUCUUUUGGUGUUAAAGUUAAAGUGAUAUAGUUAACUUGGGUGACCUUGGGACAGGGACGUGAUGAAUUCAAUAUGGGCAAAUGGAGGUUGCCUCUAACUAAAACAUACCGUCGGUACUUUGAAAGAGCUAAUGUCCCAAAGUUGGCAAAAAUUAUUAAUGAAAUGGAUAAGAAUAAAAAUGUACUCCAAAAAUUUUGAAUAGAAAUUAAACAUUUUUCAUGAAGCUCAUUAGCCAGCCAAAAUGUCCUGCUUUCACAAGUAAGAAAGAGGACAACUUCAGGUCUGGGUCAAUGGGGAAAUGAAGGCAGCAGUUACAAAUAAUAAUGUUUAGAGUAUGGUUGUAUGGGAUGUUUUGGAUGGGAAGAAUCCUGCCUCAGGCAGGGGUUGGACUACAUGACCUCUGGAGGUCCCUUCCAGCCCCACUUCUCUACGAGUCUAUGAUAUAAAAGGAGAAAUGAAGAAAAGGGAAGAAGCGAACAGUCAAUAUACAUAAAAAAUUACAUAGAGUGAAAAUUGUGAACAAUUAACUACAUUAGAGUAAAACCCAGGGCUGGUCAGGAAAGCUAAAGACAAUAGUUUGUAAGGAAAUCAAAAUCAUACUAUAGCUAUAUUCCUAUGCAAUGAUGAAGUAACAGGGUAGUCUGGCCCUUUACGGGAGGCAGACCGCCCCGGGAUAGAGGUUUGCUUUACUUGCUUAUGUGUUCGGACCAGGUAUUAUUGUUUCGUGUUAUGAGGACUGGUGGAGGGGCUCCCGAGGAAGCGAGACCAGACAGUGGGGCUGCAGGCACCCAGCCUGCCCGCAGGCUAUUGUUCGAACGUUUGCAAUGACAUAGAAAAGGCAGAGUCAAGAGCAACCUCCUGCAAGUACCAUCAAAGAGCCAAGUGUGCUUGGGAAAGACGUGAGGAUGGUUGUUCUCAGCGGUUGCUCUUCAGCUCUGCAACCCCGCUCUCCCCCAUCCCGCUGGAGGCCUACCACAGCCCAAGCCUGCGCAUCCUCCAAAAGCACUGCGACACCUUCCUGCUCAGGUGGGUGCUCAGCAAGCCAGGCUAGGCUGGGAUAUUGUUCAGGGAGUUUUUUUUCUCUUUUGUUUGGAUAAUCUACUUGUCUUUAUAAAUUAAUUUGUCCCUUACUAUAAGCUACCCAGAGCUUUUGUUGGGGAAGGCAGCAUGUAAAUCUAAUAAGUAAAUAAAUGUGCUCCAAACGA